rnacentral:rRNA from 1 species
AGUGAACGCUGGCGGUAGGCCUAACACAUGCAAGUCGAACGGCAGCACAGUAAGAGCUUGCUCUUACGGGUGGCGAGUAGCGGACGGGUGAGGAAUACAUCGGAAUCUACUUUUUCGUGGGGGAUAACGUAGGGAAACUUACGCUAAUACCGCAUACGACCUACGGGUGAAAGCAGGGGAUCUUCGGACCUUGCGCGAUUGAAUGAGCCGAUGUCGGAUUAGCUAGUUGGCGGGGUAAAGGCCCACCAAGGCGACGAUCCGUAGCUGGUCUGAGAGGAUGAUCAGCCACACUGGAGCUGAGACACGGUCCAGACUCCUACGGGAGGCAGCAGUGGGGAAUAUUGGACAAUGGGCGCAAGCCUGAUCCAGCCAUACCGCGUGGGUGAAGAAGGCCUUCGGGUUGUAAAGCCCUUUUGUUGGGAAAGAAAAGCAGCAGGUUAAUACCCCGCUGUUCUGACGGUACCCAAAGAAUAAGCACCGGCUAACUUCGUG